rnacentral:rRNA from 1 species
GAUGAACGCUGGCGGCGUGCCUAAUACAUGCAAGUCGAGCGAAUGGAUUAAGAGCUUGCUCUUAUGAAGUUAGCGGCGGACGGGUGAGUAACACGUGGGUAACCUGCCCAUAAGACUGGGAUAACUCCGGGAAACCGGGGCUAAUACCGGAUAACAUUUUGAACAGCAUGGGUCGAAAUUGAAAGGCGGCUUCGGCUGUCACUUAUGGAUGGACCCGCGUCGCAUUAGCUAGUUGGUGAGGUAAAGGCUUACCAAGGCAACGUUGCGUAGCCGACAGGAGAGGGUGUUCGGCUACACUGGGCCGGAGACGCGGACAGGGCUCCUACGGGAGGCAGCAGUAGGGAAUCGUCGGCGGUGGACGCAAGUCUGACGGAGCAAAGCCGCGUGAGUGAUGAAGGCUUUCUGGUCGUAAAACUCUGUUGUUAGGGAAGAACAAGUGCUAGUUGAAUAAGCUGGCACCUUGACGGUACCUAACCAGAAAGCCACGGCGAACUACGUGCCAUCCGCCGCGGUAA